CAUGCCCCCGGCCCUGGCUCUGCCCUGGGGCAGCACUAGGGGAAAUGGGAUGAACGAGGAACAAAGGCAGAGAACGCUCCAGGAGAACGUUCCCCCCCGACGGGGGCAGAUGGACGAGGCUGUAGCAUGAUCUCCCGAGGGGAAUGGAAGGGGCCCCAGUGUCUGGGGUGUUUAAAAGUAGAAGGGACUCUGGAAAGCCCACGGACCAUUGGAGCUGGAAGGGAAUUCAAGUGUCUUUUAGUUCAUUCUCCUGCAUCAUUGCAAGAUUGAUUUCUCUAUAUUCCUAAGUCAUCUACUUUGAGAAGCCUACAGUGUUCUUACACUUUUGGUUGAACUCUGAAUUGCCAGCAAAUUGAAAAAUCCAUUAUUUGCACAGCUCUACUCAUGAUCCACAUCCCCACGGGGACAUGACACGUUAUUAAAUAUCAGGAGAAAUUCCCGAAGCAACUGCAGUAUAGAAUAUCAGUCUUGGACCGAUACAGAACAAGCACUGGAGAACAGCAGCACUGUAAACAGAAGAGUCUGUGAUUAUCCCAGUUCCACUUUAACCCAGUGGGCCUUUGGGAAAGGCCAUAUUUCUUUAUCUCAU